rnacentral:misc_RNA from 1 species
AUUGUUUCUAUGUCUAAUUGUGAAAAGUGGGGUUCUCACCUCCCUCUUUUCUUAUGACUGUACAGAACUUUAAUUCUAAUAAUACAAAAUCAGUUUGUUUUGUGUUAAAAGAAAAAUAAAACGUUUACACCUUAAAACUCUCCAAAACCGUUAAAAACAUUUUGAAUAGCUUAUUGGACCCCAAUAAUCUCAUUCGGGCUUCCUUCGAAAAAAAACAAAAAAAUCUCAUUCGGGCUUCAGCGCGUGACCCCGCCGGCAAUCGACUUUGGCAUCCGUGAGGAGGAGGAGGAUGAAAUGACAGAAAACAGACGGCAUUGGAGCAGAUGUUUGCUUUUGGCGUUUUGCCAACUUCACAGUUGAGGCUUCAUCAAUAGUUUUUCCUAGCAGAACAAGACAACUCUGUUUUUUGUACAUGCAGAUGCCGGCUUGCUUAUUUGCGUCUUUUAGCUUAUGAUGCCUCGGUUUUACAACCCACCCCGCGUCGCAGAAGGCUUCAUUUUGGUUCCUUCAUUACUGUAAUUUUGCUGUUUUGCGCCUCUGGUCAGUGCUUUCUAACAACUAUUAGUUAUUGUUUGCUCCUCAUAACUGCUCAUACUCCAAUCCAUUUUUCCAUUUUCGCUGCCAUCUCAGAUUGCGGUUUCUCAAAAUCUGAAUAAGAGUAUGGUUCCUCUCCUGUGUAAGGGUUAGGCAUUCUCACAAUAUAUAUAGAACAUCUAAACAGCAAGCACAAAGAAAGCCCAUCAACAAUGAUACUGAUAACUCCUCAAGAAAUAAAUCUGGGAAUUUGAAGUAGCCAUCCUCACAUAAUAAUCUUCCUUGAUUGUCAAUAUAAUAUAAAUAAAAGGUUCAAAUAAGUCGAGAACUUCUUUAGUUCAGACUAAAUUGUAUGAAUAUAACACCGAACAAAUGGGAACAUACAUUCGUUUCUAUUCAGUUGUAUGAUAAUCACACCUAUUUUAAUCCAGUUUAUACUGAAAAGUUUGCACAUAAAGAAUGUCAAGAAAAAAUCCAUUAAUUACUAAAACUGGAUUCGAAUUAAGGUAAACAGAAAAAGAAAAAAUAAACCAAUGCUUUUUUUGUUUUUUGAACAAGCAGCCAUCAUCUUCUUGGAAAAACAUCUGAAAAGGAAAAAUUGUGGAAAGGUGGACCUUGUUGUUCACCAAGAAUGUAAAAUGGAAUAUGUGCAAUCAUCUUUGUGCCUCCUUCACUCCAGUUAAUGGUGCCUGGAUUCUGCUUGCGUCCACGUGGAGGUCUUGAAGACCCAAAUACAGACAAAGAAAUAGCAGGUUCACUCAAUAAUCCCAAAUAAUCAUGAGCUCGCCUCCAGACCCUCGCAUCUGAGAUUCGAGAUCGAGCUACCUUGCCCAAGGAUACACGUGCCCUUGGUAAUAAUUCACGGUGAUAUGUGGCAAGCUUUGCAAUAGCUGUUACAACAAAACAUAGAAGCCUUGAUUGUGAUGACUUUCUGGAGUUUUCACCAUCGGAGCUCAUUGCUGACUCCCUUAGGCCAAGACGGCUAGAUGAUAGAUUUUCGUACAAAAGUAGCUCUAGAUUCUCAAAAAGUUCACGGGCGGCAUCUUUGUGAGACUCACCACCCCCACCAUGCUCCCCAAUGGCCCAGCACAACUGUAAUGCCAAUUCUGUCUUUGCAGGGCUGUCAUAAGCUUCCCCAAGCCUGUCCAUUAUAGGUUUCUGCAAAAGAUUGUAACUUUUUAAUCAAAAUGAUAAACAGAUUAUCAAAAUAAAAAUUCCAUAAAAAAAAAAUUCAUGAGGCUGUGGAAUGAUGAACAGUGAAUGGAUAAAUCAUUCAUUCAUUUAGAAGCAAUAAGGCUCAUCAUGACACAUUGAAAAAAGAAAUCAAGAAACAUCAUCAAUCUGGCUUCUCCUACAAGAUAUUUAAACAUUAAUUAGAAACAAAGAUAUGGCGUUUAAAUAGAACUCCAAUACUAAAAAAAUGAUCCCAAUCAAUAAUUUGACAUUUACCAAGGAAGAAUAUUGAAUUUUUUAUUUUACCAUAUUAAAUAAUAAAUAGAAACAUAAUACUUCCAUUACCAUAUUGCUAGCAUCACCAAAAUAGUUUUCCAUUAGGGAUAAAUGAAGGUCCUCUUGACUAAUCUUUGCACUAGUUAUCACUAGAUCGAACACAAAUGUUACCAUUUCAAAAACAAAUGACAUAACAUGAUCCACAUAAGAAAGAUUUUGUCAAGGUAAAACCUUCAAAAGAGCAAUAAAAUCUGGAGAUCGUUGAAAUGCAGCAAGCAUAAACUCUAAUAGCCUCUUACGAACCUGCAAGCAAAGGAUAAACUACGAAGAAUGAAUCACCACUAUCCAAGUAUUUUCCGCACUAAAGAAUUUAUCAUUGAAAUAUCUAAGGAGAAAAACAAAGAAAAAUAUUACAAAUCAAAUGGCAGUUCCACAUGAAAACCACUGCAAGGAAACUCCAAUAACAUUCAAAUAUAAAUGCACCUCGUAAGAAAAUUUUUUCUCUGGAAAUAUUGUGUCAUUUCUGGACAUAAUAAGAGGAAUUAAUGCACAGAUUAAAGCUGCAAAGAAAAGAAACCUUUUCAGAAUAGCCAUCGUCUUAGAAAGGCAAAUGUAUAACCCAAUUUCUUAAAAAGGAUUAUGAAUUAUGUAGGAAGUAAGUCUGCUAAAAAGCAGGAUGUAAAUCUGCUAAAGAGCAUAAAUGAUCACAUUAUGAAAUGAAAAGUAAAAAAAGAUGUCCACAUACAAUCAUUAACAUCAUGCGAAGCUAUAGUGAAAUACACAUCAAGAAGCCGUGGAGAUAUUUUGAGCAUUUGCUUUAGCCUAUCAGACUGAGGACUAUUGAUUACAGCCUGCAAAGUCGCAGCCAUACCUGGAGAAGUCCAGUGCCGCUCCUGAAAUAGAACAUUUAUUAAACAAUCAAUUUUAACCACCCCAGAAAAUAUUUCUCCAAUAAUUACUCAAAGGUUUCAAUCUUGAAUUUAUUAGUAGUAUGGUUUUUAACACAUGGUACUUCUUAACUUUGUCAUCCUGAAUACAAGAUCAAGCAACAUCAACCGGGCAGAUAUACAACUGGAGUUAACAAGAAAUAAUCAAGUAGCAAAUUAGACAAGCUGCAAUGCAUUCAUUUUUAUUUCACUAACAUUUAAGGAAACAAAUAAAAGAAAAACUCUUAUCAAAACAAAGAAUUCCCAAUCUUUUUCCAUAUUGGCUAAAAAAUACCUCUAAAUAAAACAAGACCAUGGCACAACAAAGAAGCCAGGUGCAGAAUUUUAUGAUAGAGUAAUAACUGGUAAAUGAUGGUCCUUGAUAAUUCUAGUUACAUUUCCUCAAAUAGAAUCACAUCUCGGGGACUUUAGAAAUAACAGUUUCAUUAAGCAUUUGAUCAUUUGCAUUUAUCCAUUCGCAAGAUAAAAAUGAGGCAGAGGGGACCAUACAGCAAGCCCAUCAUUUUCAUCCUUCAAAAGUUCAAGAAACACUGGAUCAGCCGCAUCUAUCGUAUUGCUAUCCUCAGAUUCAGAGUCUGCCCCACCAUCUCCGAUGGUUGAACCAGUGUAAGCCUCAUCCAUGAGUGCAAAUAGCAUCUCAGGAGCUGUACUCUUCUGGAUUGAGGCUAUGCUGUUUCCAAUAAGUGAUCCUGAGCUCCGCUCUACCUUUUCCAAAGCUACCACCAAAACUAGUACACACUUAAAGACAAAUGUUAAACCUCACAUAGCUAAUGUAAAAUAAAAUAAAUGAAAAUCAGUUUCUCUACAGAAUACUUGUACACAUUUAAUUGACUAGAUCAAACAAUUUAUACUUAUAAUUCAGAAUCACGCUUGGCAACUUGUUCCUUUUACAGGAGAGAGAAUGUUAAGGGAGAAGGUACAUUUCAAGCAUGAGAUACCACCUACAACUGCUCAUACAUAAGUAGGCAGGGCCAAUUAAAACAAUUUUUUCACUCCAAAACUAGUAAAAAAAUAAAAUAAAAUUUCUCAACCCUAUCAAAUGGAAAACUUACACACAGAUUAAAACAGGUGAUAGAAUCUACCUGGAUCAGGUCUCACAUUAUCAAUCACAUAAAACAAAUACCACUACAUAACUGUGCCAAAAAUCAUGUUAACAAAACCUAGUAGAUGAUAAGAUAGCUGGUAAUAUAAACUUACUUGGCAAAUCAACUAGAGAUGGAAAUAGGGGAAGAAAUGAGCCAGCUGAUAUCAUUCCUGGAAAAAUCUUCAGAAAUGAUUUUUCUAAUUUCUCUCCAUUCCAUGCGAUUAGCUUCAGCAACAAAGGGAAAAACUGAGGCAGUAAAGUGGGGAAGGAAGUUAAGAGCUUUUUCUUGUUCACAUUCAGAAAAUCAAGAGUUGCUUCUGCAACAACUGGAUCUGCAAAUUCACGGCUCAAACAUGAACGAAAACAUGUCCUUAGACUGGGAUCAGCAUCAUGCAGAACCACCUCACCAAAGUCGAGGAAAAAUUGAAGAAUGGCCAGUAAGAGAAGUCCAUAAGAGGACUUGGAUUGAGAAAGCGAAGCGACAGAGCGUUGAAAGACCCUGUUAAUCUGAGGAUAAACCCUAGCAACCAAAUCCUCAGAGUACUCUUUCUUACACAAUUCAUGUAGCCUUUUCACGGAUUGGAGAAGAGAGGGGUCAGAGGCGGGGUCGCUGGCCAAAUUGGAGUCUCUGGUGCUGAUAGAUAGAGUUCGGAGAUGGAAAUCCCAGUCUCCUCCGUCUCGAUCGGCCAUUGAUCUUCAGGAAAGCAAAAGGGAGGUGAUUUUGUUCUUGAUUUUGAAAAGGACUUGCCGUGCUUUGGAUCUUCAAAGUGAAAUUGAUGAUGAGAAUCGAAAGAGAGGUUCCAUCAAUGAAGGGUAUAUCAAUGUAAUGAUUAAGCAACGCGACGAUUUGGCAUCAUUGAGCAUAGCGCAUGCGACGGAGUCUCACUCUCACUGUGCUUAAACGCACCGUUUCAUCUCCAGUAAAGUUGCAAUAUGUGCCAUAAACUCAAAUCAUAGGGGCCUGGUUUAGUUUCUCAUGGAAGAACCAACUUCCUGGAUUUUGAGCUGAUUCUGCAUGGA